rnacentral:rRNA from 1 species
GACGAACGCUGGCGGCGUGCCUACUACAUGCAAGUAGGACGCAGUUGCGAACGGGUGAGUAACGCGUAGGUAACUGCCUAUUAGAGGGGGAUAACUAUUGGAAACGAUAUCUAAUACCGCAUACUAGUAGAUUGACCUGCGUUGUAUUAGCUAAUAGGUAGGGUAAUGGCAUACCUAGGCGACGAUACAUAGCCGACCUGAGAGGGUGAGCGGGCACACUGGGACGGAGACACGGGCCAGACUCCUACGGGAGGCAGCAGUAGGGAAUAUUAGGUAAUGGGGGGAACACGGAGCGAGCAACGCCGCGGGAGUGAAGAAGGUUUUCGGAUCGUAAAGCUCUGUUGUUAAGGAAGCGGUACUUAACAAGAAAGGGACGGCUAACUACGUGCCAGCAGCAGCGGUAAUAC